rnacentral:rRNA from 1 species
UACAGAGGUCCCAAGCGUUGUUCGGAUUCACUGGGCGUAAAGGGUGUGUAGGAGGUCAGGCAAGUCUGGCGUGAAAUCCCGGCAUUCAAUGUCGGAACAGCUCUGGAUACUGCCUGACUCGAGUGCCGGAGAGGAGAACGGAAUUCCUGGUGUAGCAGUGAAAUGCGCAGAUAUCAGGAGGAACACCGAAGGCGAAAGCAGUUCUCUGGAAGGCCACUGACUCUGAAACACGAAGGCCAGGGGAAGCAAACGGG